rnacentral:other from 1 species
AUAUCCCUGCGGUGCGCGUGAUUGGAUCGAAUCAUCUUGAGCCAAAAGAAUCUUGAGCCAUUAGCACUAAACUAGGGAGCCUAACUUUACAGAUACCUCGGUAUUUGUAAGAGGGCACCCACCUGUUACAUAACAGGGUCAAGAUAAUUCAUCUCACACGGCAUUGUGGGGAUUUU